GUUAUAAGCUUCAGCGAAUUAUAAGGGAAUAUGUUUUUAUACAAAGGAAUAAUUUUUAUAAAACAGUUACGCAAUUAAGCGAACGACAAGAAAAUAUAACGUAACAUUGUAAUUUGCACGUAGAUUUAAUUCAUUUGCGAAUACCUUUAUGAUUUGCUAUGGUUGCUAUAUUUAAAUAUUACGUAGAGUGAAUUCUUUGAUGCGUGUGUAUUGAUUACAUAUUGCGAUUUUAAUUACCGCAAUUGUAAAAUUAUAACAAUCGUAGUAGAAUGUUUUUAUUGGCAUUAAUUUAGUCAUUUAAAUUAGCGGAAAUCUUGCAAAGUAUCUGCUAUAAAUUUUAUUGAUAAAGUGUCAGGAAAAUUGUAACAGUAUCUGAUAACAGAGUAAGACGAUAAAUUGGCGGCAGAAACGAAAUAAAAUGUGCUGUGCAAAUGAAAUACACAGCAAAUUUUGCCUCGAUCUUUGCCAAUUUCUCAUUAAAUUAUGUCAACAGACGUAAUUAAUCUCUGCUAACAUAACAAGAUUUUAAUUUGAACAGAUACCAUAUUUGCCGCAAUAUUCUAAAAUUGCGCGCGCGCCCAUAUCUGAUAGUAAGAUCAUAUCAUGAAAGAUUGUACAGAUUUGUCAUCAGUGAUAGAUACCACAUUUUGCUGAGAACACGCGUGUGUCAGACGAAACAGCAUUUAUUGAAUAAGAGACCGUGAAGUGAUUCAAUAUGUGAAUAGUUCAAAUGUGUUUUUAAUUCAAAUAAAAAUUACACAACGGUAUUAAAACUAGAACAAAAUAAUGUACGAAAGUUUCAAGUUAUAUUUCAAGAACAUAAUAAAAGAUGAAUGAUAUAGCACGAAAAAUAACUGACAUAAAAGAAGCAUUAUAUGCUGUAAAUAAUAAUAUCAAGUUUUGCUAACAAUAAUAUGAAAAUAGAUUUCUAGCAAUAUGGCUACAUUAUCUGUAGUAGACUAUAUUGUGAUUUGUGUAUUAAUGGUGAUCAGUUCCGGAAUCGGAAUAUACUACUGGCUCACCGGAAAUCGGCAAAAAUCUACAGAGGAAUAUUUCGUGGCGAACAAAUCAAUGCGAGUAGUACCGGUGGCGAUAGGUUUGAUGGUUUCAUAUCUGUCAGCAGUAAGUUUACUUGGUGUGAGUUCCGAAAACUAUAUUCACGGUACACAAUAUGCUGUAAUUAUUUUUUCUUACGGCAUCGCCACGCCAUUCGUAGCCUAUUUCUAUUUACCAGUAUUUUUCAAACUCAACGCCACAAGUGUUUUUGAGUAUCUGCAAAAACGUUUUGGCACAACCACCAGAGUAAUAGCCAGCUUUGCCUUUCUACUCCAAUUAUUGCUCUACACUGGUGUCGUAUUGUAUGCACCCGCACUGGCUCUAGAAGCUACCACGGGUAUUUCAAUGAGUGUGAGCGUAAUCAGUCUGGGCCUGGUCUGCACAUUUUACUCGACUAUCGGUGGUAUCAAGGCAGUCCUCAUCACCGAUGUGUUUCAGAGCCUAUUAAUGCUGAUCGCUGUUAUCAUGGUUAUUGCCACUGCGGCUGUUGAUACCGGCAGUCUCGCUCGGAUCUGGCAAAUUGCGCGUGAAGGAUCGCGAUUGGAAUUUAACAACAUUUCUCUAGAUCCAACUGUACGACAUACUUGGUGGAGUCUAACAAUCGGUGGAUUCUUCACUUAUCUCUCUUUAUACAGUGUUAAUCAAGUUCAGGUCCAGAGAAUGUUGACUCUCAGAAAUGUAAAAGCCGCCCAACAUGCAUUAUGGUGGAGCUGGCCAAUGGCGUCGAUCAUGUCGCUCACUCUAAGUUUCACUGGAUUGGCGAUAUACGCAAAAUAUCAUAACUGUGAUCCCCUCAAGGAGGGUAAAAUAAGUUCGUACGAUCAAUUGAUGCCGCUGUACGUGAUGGAUAUGCUGUCGAACUAUCCCGGUGUACCUGGGCUCUUUAUAGCAGGGAUUUUCAGCGCUGGGCUCAGCACCAUCUCAGCCACGGUUAAUUCUCUCGCCGCUGUUAUCCUCGAAGAUUAUAUCAAGCCUCUCUGGCGUAUAAGAAAGAAGGAGUUAUCUGCGACAACAUCAAUAAUUAUUAGUAAACUACUAGCUGUUGCGGUCGGAGGAGCUUGUCUAGCCGUUGCUUUUCUGGCACAAUAUCUUGGCGGAUUAUUGCAGUUGAUUCGUCAAUAUUGAAUUUCUCUGCAAUCUCUCAAGUGAUGAUUUGCCGGCUCGCAUCAAUUAAAAUCAUGAUUUGAUCGACAUCCGUAAUGACUGGCCGACUGGAAUGAGGAACCUCUUUAAGAUCCGCUUCUUCUGCACGAAACUUCGCAAACCAUUUCUGGCACAUUUAUUCGCUAACAGCAUCUCUCCUCUCCGUAGAGACGGCGCAUUUUUUAUGUAGUGUAUCCCGUAUUUUUAGUUUUACGCAGCUUUAACGAUUUUCGGUGUAAUCGGUGGACCUAUGUUAGGUUUAUAUACACUCGGCAUGUUCCUUCCAUCGUGCAAUCAGAGAGGC
rnacentral:misc_RNA from 1 species